CGCGGUGGUGCUUCUCGUCGUCGUCCGGGGCCAACAGCAGGCGCCCCCGGCGGCGGCGGUGCAGGCGCUAGGCGACGCUGCGGUAGCGGCGCAGGCUGCUCCGGUCGCUCCACUUCUUCCGCGAGCGGUACCGGCGCCGGCGGCCGCUGUGCCGGUCCCGAGGGAAGAACCGGCGCAAGAAGACGUCCGACGCGUCGCUCUACGAGCCGCUGCGGUGGAACCGCGACCUGCUGCCGCUGCUUCCGCGGCUGGACCGGCACUAGAACCGCCCGAACUCGUACCAGUAGCACCGAUACCAGCGGUAACUGCGGAUCGAGGGACCAACGAGCGAUGGGAGAGAGGGAGCGUUCUUUCUUCUUCGAGAGUGCGACCGUUUUUCCACCUACCUCCUCACCACACUCCACGCUCCCACACAUUACGCUACGGGAG
rnacentral:rRNA from 1 species